AAUUGGGCCGGCCUUUUUGUAUCUCUUUCCUGUCCCCUUCCUCGUGCGACUCGCUCAUUCCUCCACAGAUAAGCUUUCCUCGCUCGUGCGGCGAUCCCCUUUUCCUCCCUGGUGCGAUAGAUUCUACUCCGGCAAGAGACCGCCGCCCUCGUGGCCAGUGUCUCCAUCGUCGGCGUCCGCGUUGUCUAGGGCUCCGUCAAGCUCGGCGUCGUCUAGGGUUCCGCCAAGCUCGGCGUCGUCUAGGCCCUGGUCAAGCUCGGCAUCCACAAGAUAUGUUGUAUAAAAGUCGAGAAAGCAUUUUUUUGAUGGACUGGUGUUAGCUCUGGUGAUAUUUGUUGUAGAUUACAACAAGCAGGUAUACUUAGAUGCUUUUUUUCAUGUAGAUAUGUGUGCACUGGGGUUAUUUCUAGCACUUUAGAACUAGUAUCUGUACCUUGACCAUUUUUACAUGAUGGAUAACCUUUGUGUGCUACUCUUUUCGCAUAUGUAUUGUUCAGGUGCUUAUCACAUUCACAAUUUGUAAACGAUGUAUUCCACAAACAUUGUUUAGGGAACACUAUCUAGGAACAUUAUUUUAGGGAACAUUUUCCGAUGAACAUUACAUGGGAACAUUAUUUAUUUUGAAGAACAGUUUUUCACUUCACAGAAUAUUCUUAAAUUUUGCAUAGUUAUUUGGGGACAUUCAUCAGGGAACAUUACUCUGGGAACAUUAUUUAGCUAACAUUAUUAAGGGAACAUUUUGCUAAGAAAAAUUGUUGGCUCCAGCGAACAAUAAUUAAUUUUGUUGGAAAAUAAUGUUCUCGGAAAAAGUUGCAACCUGCAACUUGUUUAGGCUUUUACCAACAUUAUUCUUUGUUUUAUGGGAACAUUUUGCAAGGAUUUUUUUACUCCAGGGAACAUUAUUUUAUUUGUAGAACAUUUUAGAGUUUGGAGAUAGUUUUUUAAAUAUACCUAGAACAUCUUCCACGGAACAUUAUUUAGGGAACAGUUUUCAAGGGACAUUUAUGAGGGAACAUUAUGUGCGGAACAUUAUUUAGGUAACAUUAUCAAAGAACCUUUUGAAAGGAAAAGUUGUUGACUCUAGGGAACAUUAUUUAUUUUUGAAGAACAUUUUCUGACUUCGAAGAAUAUUUUCAAGAUGUAUGUAGUACAUUUUCCAGGGAACAUUAUUCAAGGAACAUUUUCGAGGGACAUUUAUGAGGGAAAAUUAUUUGGGGAACAUUGUUUAGGUGACAUUAUUAAGGGAACAUUAUUUAGGGACAUUAUUAACAUAACAGUAUUGACGGAACAUUAUUGAAGGAACAUUUUGUCAGGGAACAUUAUUUAAAAAACAUUUUCCCACGAACAUUAUUCAGGUAACAGUAUGAAGGGAACAUUUUUACGGAAAUACUAGUUCUUUUAACAUAGGAAAUUUUGAGUCAAGAUUUGUACCAGCUCCCAAGUUCAAUUUCAGGUGCCUUUCUGAAUGGAACUCUCCCCUGUACUUAUAACACUGAUAAGCAACUUCUGUGCUCUAUCUCCACAAAUAAUAGUUACAAAGAAUUUAAAAUUCACCAAAUGUUCCAUCACAAUUUUGUUUACAGGUAUGACUCAGGGAUUUUCCUUCUUCAGUAUCUGAGAAACUACAAAGGUCUCGGAAUGGAGGGUUUCCCUAAUGCAAGACGAUCUAUAAGCUCAACGUGAGAAAUACCAUUUUGAGAUUGUCACUUGCAAGGACAAUGAAAUUCAGCUGCCAAUUGUAACUUCUUUCCCGCAGAAACAUGGUUUCCGCAUAUUCAAGUGAAGCUUUGAAGGCCAAUCAUUUUUCGUCCCGCAUAUGAACUCAGCUUAGGGUCUCAUCACUAUUAUUUAUUGCUAACUUCAAGGGAAAUUGCAGUGCAAGAAUUUUUUUGAACUGAAAGGAAUUCUUCCAUGAGGGAAAUGUUUCCUUAAUGAUACAGUUCUCUGCUUUUGUCAUGGUGCCCAGUGAUGCUUUCUUGCAUUACUUUCAGUUGCAAAGAAGAUUCAAAACUGCAUAAUUAGUUUGUAAAGAAGCUCUAGGCAUAAUUACUGUUUUAAAAUGUUUCUUCGACCUCUCAGUACUGUUAUUGAACAAGCAUAAUUACUGUUUGUAAAUGUUUAUUUACUUCAGCUAUAUUCUUUUGUACAGUUGGAAUCAGUUCUCUGUUUUAGAACCAGCAGAAUUACUGUUCUUUUAUACACUCUUC
rnacentral:rRNA from 1 species